UACGUAGGGGGCAAGCGUUGUCCGGAUUUAUUGGGCGUAAAGAGCGUGUAGGCGGCCAGGUAGGUGGGUUGUGAAAACUGGAGGCUCAACCUUCAGACGUCGACCCAAACCCCCUGGCUAGAGUCCGGAAGAGGAGAGUGGAAUUCCUAGUGUAGAGGUGAAAUUCGUAGAUAUUAGGAAGAACACCAGUGGCGAAGGCGGCUCACUGGUCCGGUACUGACGCUGAGGUGCGAAAGCGUGGGGAGCAAACAGG
rnacentral:rRNA from 1 species